GGCGCCAUACCCAAGUGGUAAGGGAGUGCUCUGCAAAAGCAUUAUACGUGCGUUCGAUUCGCACUGGCGCCU
rnacentral:tRNA from 1 species